GUCGUGUUGAGUGGGAGAGGGCAAACGAGGGGCGGGUCUAAUGCAGAGUUGGGAGGCGAUUAGCAGAAGGGAAUGAGGGUUUAAGGGAUAAAAAGCUUGUGAAAAGUAUCGAGGACUUAUGGGGUGAUUAGUGACCAGUGCCUGGCGACAGUGAGAUGGCAGCAGCGAGAGGCAGCAGGUAGCAGGAGUGGAAAGGAAAGGCUGGCGAACGAGGAGUAGGAAACAAGCCGAGGAUGAGACAAGAUAAUGGUACUUUGUUACUAACUCCAAGGAGCUCAAGUACUUAGAUAUCGGCUCCAAUACUCGGUAGAUCCCUGCAUCGAACAGUUGGUGACGGAGGAGACUUUCUAAACAAGCGCCCUCUCACUCAAUGCACUACUUCACCCACGACUUUAUUCCCCGCCGCCUCAAUACGUGUCUUGCGGCGAUAAAUACUCGUAGUGCCUGCAAUCUA